CCUAUUUUAAUUCCUCUGCCCAAUCCAAUGACAUCCUGCUCAUCUGUAGCCAAGCAGGAACCUUAGCUCCAAAUUUUGUGCACACAACUCACAUUGGAAGAAUAAACAUAAUAUACUCUCAUUCCCAACAUUACACAGAGGACAGAGUUGUGAAACAUACAUUCCCCAUUGUAGUAGCUUGUCUCUUAUAUUAAGUUUUUCAUGUGCCACCAACCUAAGAAUGAAAGACAUUUAGGGGAUCCUAGAUUGUUAUAUGGUAACCUCCUUUGUGAGACCUUAGUGAACUCUCCCUCAUUAUACUGUACAUCUUCUUGAUCGAGAAUUUAGUUAAUGUCCGGAAUUCAGCUGCACCCAUCCCAGUAUUUUCUGCACAACCCAAGAUGCUAGUCUUGAACCACAUCUCAAACAUAAACAAUAUGUGGUAGGAAGCUAUCUUUGUAUCAAAUUUGAAUCUAUAAAAAGUUAAAGGAAAUGAAAAAUCAAACUUUUGCAUACACAUACUACCUACAGAAGUUUGUUUUUAUUUUUUAACUUCUAUUUAUCCUAUUAUUUCCUAAUAUUAUCUGGCAUUCUAACAAGUAAAUAAUAUUUUGAAAUAUAUAUUUUCUUCUUUACAACGACGACAAACCCACUAUACUUUGUUUUUCUGUUUAUCUUUAUUGUUCUAGGCCUAAAAUCAUAUAAAAUAAAGAACGAAGUUUUGGUUCUUAAUGAGUGCUUAGCGUAAAUAUUCCGUAGGAAACCAUAAAAGAAUAGUAAAACAUAUCAGAAAACACGUUAAUAACCACAGGACAAAGGAAAUAGCACAUACUAACUCAUAUUGGUGAGCCCAUGCUUAGCACAGGCUGAAGGUAAUCUAGCAUUCACCUUGAUUUCUAUACUAAACAUGGUAACUACAGGAAAUGUGAGUAAAUUUUUUCCAUAAUGUUUCUUUCAAAUGAUAGAGCAGGUUGAAUGUGCACUCCAUUCGUUUACAUAUUGAACGAAGAUAAGAGUCCUCAUAUGAAGGGUAAUCAAGCUAGUUUGACGUAAGAUAGUCUUAAGUGUAAGCGGCUUUAAGUGAGUGCCAACUAAUUCUAGCAGAGGAUUGCUUGUGAAUGCUAGUCCUUGUGAUGUUAUCUUGUUGUGACUGAUAAUCUAUGAGAUUUCUUUACUUUUUAUCCUUCACAAAGAAGCAAAAUAUUCUAUAUUAUGGGAGAUAAAAUUAAGUAAUUGUCGCGCCCCCUUUUUCUAUAGUAGAAGUCGGGCUUGUGACAUUUGUUGGAAACACGUUCUCAAGGCAUUAUACUAAACGUGUGUUCAUAUUUGUAGGUUUUAGAAACAAACAUACUGUGAAAAGUGUCUUAUGGUUGGACAUAACUGUUUGGCUGUCCCCAAACCUCCACCUAUUCACAAGCCUAAAGUUGUUCAACAAUGGAGACCCUGUUGGAAACACGUUCUCAAGGCAUUAUACUAAACAUGUUUUCAUAUUUGUAGGUUUUGAUGAAUGACAAACUAUGCGCAAAUUGACGCAUGACGAGGUCCAAGCACAAGCGCAAAAUUGAU
rnacentral:lncRNA from 1 species